GGCACUCAUAAUUAAGCCUUGGUGAUGUUUUAAGAGGAACGCUACUGUGUACCCCCCGAUCAUUAAGCUUUCUUAGUCGUCUCUUACGACACCCACGGGAAAGAAAGGGGUGGCCUAUUCUAUUCCGGGACCACACGGCGUUCUUUUCAUAUCAAGCUACUGAAUUAGGUCAGCAUGCUUCUUGGUCUUGCUGUAUAAGAAACAGCGAAAAGCGAGAGACAUGGUUAUAUAAUAUAAAUCAAAUAGAACCCCAGAUGUUCUAGACAAAUGGCAAGCGAUUCUAUUGACGGAAUCGUUAUUGUUAGUGACACCAUUAGAUAGAAAGAAGUAGUGACGUCUUAUGGAUCAUUCCUUCCAAGGACUCGCAUAAAAUAUAGAUUCAAUCGAUUGUCACUUGUCUGGGAGAGAAGACCCGAUCUAGACAAGUUCGUGUACCGUUUGGGCCUACCAGAAAUCAAACCCAAUACCUCAUAGCAACAAGCCAAUACUGUGCAACGGAAGUUAUCGACUUCGGUAAGCGCUACGAGGAAUUGGUGCCAGAUAUCACAUCGCCCACGUGUCAUAUCGGCUGUGUGACUUGCAUAAUGCAUCGCAUGCAUGGGGAGCGGUCUGCGGUCGGCCUUGCCACGCCUAGUUGCGACAUAUCAUGUACUAUUUAUACAUAAUUUACGCUUGAACGUUGCUAGGUACGGCGACCUAGUACAUUGAUAUGGCGAGAAAUUGUGGAGCGCGCGCGUUGAUAGCGGAGAUCGCCCAUCCGUAAACAGUUAGGGUUGCCUACGGAUGCCUGCAGCACUAGGGUUGUCACGUGCGGGUGCAAGUGAAUUCUAGCUCACUUUAUACAGGCGUGACAGCAAGGCUUCCAACAAGUUGAAAUACAGAUACAAUAUACAUAACACUUAACAAUAUUCCCCAAGGAAUGUACGUGGGAAUAUUUACUAGUACUUGGAAAAGUCCAACCCAUUAGAGAACAAGUGAAAAUAUCUGUACCAUUUUUCGAAAUAUUAUUAAACGAAACAAGUGCUACAAUAAAAGGUGCAUUUUUAUUGAAACGAACAUGAUAUCCUGGUG